UACGAAGGGGGCUAGCGUUGUUCGGAAUUACUGGGCGUAAAGCGCGCGCAGGCGGCUAUCCAAGUCAGUGGUGAAAGCCCGGAGCUCAACUCCGGAACUGCCAUUGAAACUGCUGAGCUUGAGUACUUAAGAGGAUCGCGGAAUUCCUGGUGUAGCGGUGGAAUGCGCAGAUAUCAGGAGGAACACCGGUGGCGAAGGCGGGUCUCUGGGCAGUAACUGACGCUGAGGAGCGAAAGCGUGGGGAGCGAACAGG
rnacentral:rRNA from 1 species